rnacentral:rRNA from 2 species
UGGGGAAUAUUGCACAAUGGGGGAAACCCUGAUGCAGCAACGCCGCGUGAACGAUGAAGGCCUUCGGGUCGUAAAGUUCUGUCCUUGGGGAAGAAUACAUGACGGUACCCUUGGAGGAAGCCCCGGCUAACUACGUGCCAGCAGCCGCGGUAAUACGUAGGGGGCGAGCGUUAUCCGGAAUUAUUGGGCGUAAAGAGUACGUAGGCGGUUCUUUAAGCGCAGGGUUUAAGGCAGUGGCUCAACCACUGUUCGCCCUGUGAACUGGAGGACUUGAGUAUCGGAGAGGAAAGCGGAAUUCCUAGUGUAGCGGUGAAAUGCGUAGAUAUUAGGAGGAACACCAGUGGCGAAGGCGGCUUUCUGGACGAAUACUGACGCUGAGGUACGAAAGCGUGGGGAGCAAACAGG